GAAAGGCCUGCAGCUUGCUGCGGGUACUCGAGUGGCGAACGGGUGAGUAACACGUGGGUGAUCUGCCUUGCACUUCGGGAUAAGCUUGGGAAACUGGGUCUAAUACCGGAUAGGACAGCUGUUUAGUGUCAGUUGUGGAAAGUUUUUUCGGUGCAAGAUGAGCUCGCGGCCUAUCAGCUUGUUGGUGGGGUAAUGGCCUACCAAGGCGUCGACGGGUAGCCGGCCUGAGAGGGUGUACGGCCACAUUGGGACUGAGAUACGGCCCAGACUCCUACGGGAGGCAGCAGUGGGGAAUAUUGCACAAUGGGCGGAAGCCUGAUGCAGCGACGCCGCGUGGGGGAUGAAGGCCUUCGGGUUGUAAACUCCUUUCGACAGGGACGAAGCGUAAGUGACGGUACCUGUAUAAGAAGCACCGGCUAACUACGUGCCAGCAGCCGCGGUAAUACGUAGGGUGCGAGCGUUGUCCGGAAUUACUGGGCGUAAAGAGCUCGUAGGUGGUUUGUCGCGUCGUCUGUGAAAUUCCGGGGCUUAACUCCGGGCGUGCAGGCGAUACGGGCUGACUUGAGUGCUGUAGGGGAGACUGGAAUUCCUGGUGUAGCGGUGAAAUGCGCAGAUAUCAGGAGGAACACCGAUGGCGAAGGCAGGUCUCUGGGCAGUAACUGACGCUGAGGAGCGAAAGCAUGGGUAGCGAACAGGAUUAGAUACCCUGGUAGUCCAUGCCGUAAACGGUGGGCGCUAGGUGUAGGGGGCUUCCACGUCUUCUGUGCCGUAGCUAACGCAUUAAGCGCCCCGCCUGGGA
rnacentral:rRNA from 1 species